rnacentral:tRNA from 2 species
GGGCCCGUGGUCUAGGGGUUAUGACGUCGCCUUGACGCGGCGAAGGUCCUGGGUUCAAGUCCCAGCGGGCCCA